rnacentral:rRNA from 1 species
AGCGCAGGCGGGAGGCCAAGUCCAUCCUAAAAGUGCGGGGCUCAACCCCGUGAGGGGAUGGAAACUGGUCUUCUUGAGUGCAGGAGAGGAAAGCGGAAUUCCUAGUGUAGCGGUGAAAUGCGUAGAUAUUAGGAGGAACACCAGUGGCGAAGGCGGCUUUCUGGACUGUAACUGACGCUGAGGCUCGAAAGCCAGGGGAGCAACG